CUACGGGAUGCACCAGUGAGGAAUAUUGCACAAUGGAGGGAACCCUGAUGCAGCAACGCCGCGUGGAGGAUGACGCAUUUCGGUGUGUAAACUCCUUUUAUAUGUCAAGAAAAUGACGGUAGCAUAUGAAUAAGCACCGGCUAACUCUGUGCCAGCAGCCGCGGUAAUACGGAGGGUGCAAGCGUUACUCGGAAUCACUGGGCGUAAAGGACGCGUAGGCGGGUUGGAAAGUCAGGUGUGAAAUCCUACAGCUUAACUGUAGAACUGCACUUGAAACUUCUAAUCUAGAGUAUGGGAGGGGGAGAUGGAAUUAGUGGUGUAGGGGUAAAAUCCGUAGAUAUCACUAGGAAUACCUAAAGCGAAGGCGAUCUCCUGGAACAUUACUGACGCUAAGGCGUGAAAGCGUGGGGAGCAAACAGGAUUAGAUACCCUUGUAGUC
rnacentral:rRNA from 1 species